rnacentral:rRNA from 1 species
GUGCCAGCCGCCGCGGUAAUACCGGCAGCCCGAGUGAUGGCCGAUCUUAUUGGGCCUAAAGCGUCCGUAGCUGGCUGCGCAAGUCCGUCGGGAAAUCCACUCGCCCAACGAGUGGCCGUCCGGUGGAAACUCCACACCUUGGGACCGGAAGGCUCGAAGGGUACGGCCGGGGUAGGAGUGAAAUCCUGUAGUCCCGUCCGGACCACCGAUGGCGAAAGCACUUCGAGAAAACGGAUCCGACAGUGAGGGACGAAAGCUAAGAUCGCGAACCGGAUUAGAUACCCCUGUAGUCC